rnacentral:rRNA from 1 species
AUUGAACGCUGGCGGCAUGCUUUACACAUGCAAGUCGAACGGUAACAGGUCUUCGGCUGCUGACGAGUGGCGAACGGGUGAGUAAUACAUCGGAACGUGCCUAGUAGUGGGGGAUAACUACUCGAAAGAGUAGCUAAUACCGCAUGAGAUCUACGGAUGAAAGCAGGGGACCUUCGGGCCUUGUGCUACUAGAGCGGCUGAUGGCAGAUUAGGUAGUUGGUGGGGUAAAGGCUUACCAAGCCUGCGAUCUGUAGCUGGUCUGAGAGGACGACCAGCCACACUGGGACUGAGACACGGCCCAGACUCCUACGGGAGGCAGCAGUGGGGAAUUUUGGACAAUGGGCGAAAGCCUGAUCCAGCAAUGCCGCGUGCAGGAUGAAGGCCCUCGGGUUGUAAACUGCUUUUGUACGGAACGAAAAGCCUGGGGCUAAUAUCCCCGGGUCAUGACGGUACCGUAAGAAUAAGCACCGGCUAUCUACGUG